GUUGAUCCUGCAGGAGAUUGCUGCUAGUAGGAUUCGAUUUAGCCAUGCAAGUGAAUGGGAUUUAGUUCCAUCGCGAAUCGCUCAGUAACACGUCGAUAAUCUACCCUUGUGCCAGGGAUAAGCUCGGGAAACUGAGUAUAAUACCUGAUAUGAGAUACAAUUUGGAAUAAUGUAUUUCUCAAAGUUUUAACGUACAAGGAUGAGUUGGCGGCUGAUUAGGUAGUUGGCGGGGUAAUGGCCCGCCAAGCCGAUGAUCAGUAGGGGCCGUGAGAGCGGGAGCCCCGAGAGGAACACUGAGAAACUGGUUCCAGCCCUACGGGGUGCAGCAGGCGCGAAACCUCUUCAAUGCACGACAGUGUGAAAGGGGAAUCCUACGUGCUCAUGUUUUCAUGGGCUUUUGCAAAGUGUAAAAAGCUAUGCGAAUAAGGGGUGGGAAAGACCGGUGCCAGCAGCCGCGGUAACACCGGCGCCCCAAGUGGCAAUCAUAAUUAUUGGGCCUAAAGCAUCCGUAGCCGGAUUUGUAAUUUCUGUGAAAUCUCUUGGCUUAACCAAGAGGCGUGCAGAAAAGACUGCAUUUCUAGAGACCGGGAGAAGUUAGAGGUAUUCUGUGGGGAGCGGUAAAAUGUUAUAAUCCGCGGAAGACCAUCAAUGGCGAAGGCAUCUAACUAGAACGGAUCUGACGGUCAGGGAUGAAGGCUAGGGGAGCAAAACGGAUUAGAUACCCGAGUAGUCCUAGCUGUAAACUCUGUAUGCAAGGUGUUGCGGAUCCUCGUGGAUCUGCAGUAUCGAAGAGAAGUCGUUAAGCAUACCGCCUGGGAAGUACGGUCGCAAGACUGAAACUUAAAGGAAUUGGCGGGGGAGCACCACAAGGGGUGCGGCGUGCGGUUUAAUCUAACUCAACGCAGAGAAUCUCACCAGGGGCGACAGCAAGAUGAAGAUCAGUCUAAAGGGCUUAUCGGAUGAGCUGAGAGGUAGUGCAUGGCCGUCGUCAGCUCGUGCCGUAAGGUGUCCUGUUAAGUCAGGCAACGAGCGAGACCUAUGCCCACAAUUGCCAGCGAUAUCUUCGGAUAGAUCGGGAACAUUGUGGGGACUGCCCGUGAAAACGGGAGGAAGGUGUAGGCUACGGUAGGUCUGUAUGCUCCGAAUCUCCUGGGCUACACGCGCGCAACAAUGAUAUGGACAAUUGGCUGCUACUCCGAAAGGAGACGCUAAUCCUCUAAACCAUAUCCAAGUACAGAUUGUGGGUUGUAACUCACCCACAUGACGCUGGAAUCCCUAGUAAUCGAACGUCAUCAUCGUUCGGUGAAUAUGUCCCUGCUCCUUGCACACACCGCCCGUCAAACCUCUCGAGCAGUGCUUAAGUGAGUCAUAGCCUUUUUAGUUAUGCCGAACUUAAGUUCAGUGAGAAGGGUUAAGUCGACACAAGGUA
rnacentral:rRNA from 1 species